UCAAGCUAAUAAGGGCUAACGGUGGAUACCUAGGCACACGGAAGCGAAGAAGGACGUAGUUACCGACGAAACGCUUCGGGGAGCGGGAAGCAAGCAUUGAUCCGAAGAUAUCCGAAUGGGGCAACCCUAAACACGACCACCUGAAUACAUAGGGUGGAGCGAGCAAACCUGGUGAACUGAAACAUCUUAGUAGCCAGAGGAAAAGAAAGCAACAGCGAUUCCCCCAGUAGCGGCGAGCGAAAAGGGAACAGCCUAAACCAAGUUCUUCGGAACUUGGGGUCGUGGGACAGUGACAAAAGACUGGGAAAUUUAGACGAAGCGGCUGAAAACCGCACCAGAGAGGGUGAAAGUCCUGUAGUCGAAAAAGGAACCAGCUUAACUGCAUCCCGAGUAGCAUGGGGCACGUGAAAUCCCGUGUGAAUCUGCCUCGACCACGAGGUAAGGCUAAAUAUUCCCGUGUGACCGAUAGAGAAACAGUACCGCGAGGGAAAGGUGAAAAGAACCCCGGAAGGGGAGUGAAAUAGAACAUGAAACCGUUAGCCUACAAGCAAUGGGAGGACGAUUGAACGUCUGACCGUGUGCCUGUUGAAGAAUGAGCCGGCGACUUACAGGUUAUGGCAGGUGAAGGGGGAAGACCCCACAGCCCCAGCGAAAGCGAGUCUGAAUAGGGCGAAACGUCAUAAUUUGUAGACCCGAACCCGGGUGAUCUAACCAUGGCCAGGAUGAAGCUUGGGUAAAACCAAGUGGAGGUCCGAACCGACUAAUGUUGAAAAAUUAGCGGAUGAGCUGUGGUUAGGGGUGAAAUGCCAAUCGAACUCGGAGCUAGCUGGUUCUCCCCGAAAUGUGUUGAGGCGCAGCGGUAGUGGAAGUUUAGUCGGGGUAAAGCACUGUUUCGCCGCGGGCUGGGAGACCGGUACCAAGGCGAGGCAAACUCUGAAUACGGCUAAAAAAACUACCAGUGAGACGGUGGGGGAUAAGCUUCAUCGUCAAGAGGGAAACAGCCCAGACCACCAGCUAAGGUCCCCAAAUGAUAACUAAGUGAGAAAGGAGGUGGGAGUGCAUUGACAACCAGGAGGUUUGCCUAGAAGCAGCAACCCUUAAAAGAGUGCGUAAUAGCUCACUGGUCAAGCGCUCCUGCGCCGAAAAUGAACGGGGCUAAGUUAUCUACCGAAGCUGUGGACUACAUUGUAGUGGUAGGGGAGCGUUCUAUAGGGGGUGAAGCAGUAGCGGCAAGCAGCUGUGGACUCUAUAGAAGUGAGAAUGUCGGCUUAAGUAGCGAAAAUGUGGGUGAGAAUCCCACACCCCGAAACCCCAAGGUUUCCUCCGCAAGGCUCGUCCGCGGAGGGUCAGUCAGGACCUAAGGCGAGGCUGAAAAGCGUAGUCGAUGGACAACGGGUUAACAUUCCCGUACCGAUUAAUGAUUGUGCCGGAGAACGGAGAAGGUCAACGUCAGCUGGAUGUUGGUUACCAGUGCAAGCAGUCGAGGCGAUGAGAGGUGGUGAAAACACCAGGAGCUAAGACGCGAGUCCCACCUCCCACGGGAGGGAAGUGGCGCUGAUCAAGCUUCCUAGAAAAGCCCGAACCACGUUAAUCAUUAAUUGCCUGUACCCGAAACCGACACAGGUGGGGAAGUAGAGAAUACUAAGGGGCGCGAGAUAACUCUCUCUAAGGAACUCGGCAAAAUGACCCCGUAACUUCGGGAGAAGGGGUACCCUCGCAAGAGGGUCGCAGUGAAUAGGCCCAGGCGACUGUUUACCAAAAACACAGGUCUCCGCCAAGUCGUAAGACGCAGUAUGGAGGCUGACGCCUGCCCAGUGCCGGAAGGUUAAGGAAGUUGGUCAGGAGUAAUCUGAAGCUGACGACCGAAGCCCCGGUGAACGGCGGCCGUAACUAUAACGGUCCUAAGGUAGCGAAAUUCCUUGUCGGGUAAGUUCCGACCCGCACGAAAGGCGUAACGAUCUGGGCACUGUCUCGGAGAGAGACUCGGCGAAAUAGGAUUGUCUGUGAAGAUACGGACUACCUGCACCUGGACAGAAAGACCCUAUGAAGCUUUACUGUAGCCUGGAAUUGGCUUCGGGCUUCGCUUGCGCAGGAUAGGUGGGAAGCUUUGAAACUCUCCUCGUGGGGAGAGUGGAGCUAACGGUGAGAUACCACUCUGGCGAGGCUAGAAUUCUAACCCUGACCCCUAAUCGGGGCGGGAGACAGUUUCAGGUGGGCAGUUUGACUGGGGCGGUCGCCUCCUAAAAGGUAACGGAGGCGCGCAAAGGUUCCCUCGGUCCCGUUGGAAAUGGGACGAUAGAGUGCAAAAGCAGAAGGGAGCUUGACUGUGAGACCCACAAGUCGAACAGGGACGAAAGUCGGCUUUAGUGAUCCGACGGCACCGCGUGGAAGGGCCGUCGCUCAACGGAUAAAAGUUACUCUAGGGAUAACAGGCUGAUCUCCCCCAAGAGUUCACAUCGACGGGGAGGUUUGGCACCUCGAUGUCGGCUCAUCGCAACCUGGGGCUGAAGUCGGUCCCAAGGGUUGGGCUGUUCGCCCAUUAAAGCGGUACGUGAGCUGGGUUCAGAACGUCGUGAGACAGUUCGGUCCAUAUCCGGUGUAGGCGUAAGAGCAUUGCGAGGAGCCUUCCUUAGUACGAGAGGACCGGGAAGGACGCACCGCUGGUGUACCUGUUAUCGUGCCAACGGUAAACGCAGGGUAGCCAUGUGCGGAGCGGAUAACCGCUGAAAGCAUCUAAGUGGGAAGCCCACCUCCAGAUGAUUGCUCUCAUGGCAUUAAGCCAGUAAGGUCUCGGGUAGACUACCCGUUGAUAGGCUCUAGAUGGAAGCUCGGUAACGAGUGCAGUCGAGGAGUACUAACCGACCGAGGGCUUGACCUG
rnacentral:rRNA from 1 species